UGGGAUCGAAUUGUUGUUAACGGCACGCACAGUCCACACGGCCGAGCUCUGCCCAUGAGAGCCUCCGCCUGUCUCGGCCGCCUUCCCUCGCCGCACCUGUUUGCCGGGAGAAACCUAGUGUUCCUCCGACCUCCGCCGACCUCGCUUGCCGAUCCCAGGGUUUUCGCCUCCAGAUCGCUUGCCGGAACCGAUCCAAGCCCCAAGAACCAGCCCCACAGGGAUAGAGCUCACAAGUGGAAGAGGAAAGAGCAAGGGGUUGGAAGAGGAGAAAGAGUAGGAGGAGGAGCAGAGGAAGUGCAUUGCGAGGUCGACGUGGUCUCGUGGCGCGAGAGGCGAGUUCGGGCGUGGAUCCUCGUCAGUGCGGACGUGGAAUCGGUGUGGAGCGUCCUCACCGAUUAUGAACGACUUGCCGAUUUCGUCCCCAAUCUUGUUUAUAGUGGGCGAAUCCCUUGUCCACACAAGGGGAGGAUAUGGUUGGAGCAGCGAGGGUUGCAGCGUGCGCUGUAUUGGCACAUCGAAGCUCGGGUCGUGUUGGACCUUCAGGAGUUCCCAAACUCGGCUAAUGGGAGUGAGCUUCACUUCUCGAUGGUUGAUGGGGAUUUUAGUAAGUUUGAAGGAAAAUGGACUGUAAAAGCUGGCCCAAGAUCUUCCAUGGCAACUUUAUCAUAUGAAGUAACCGUCGUGCCCAGAUUUAACUUCCCAGCAAUAUUUCUUGAGAGGAUUAUCGGAUCCGAUCUUCCUGUGAACCUACGAGCCGUGGCCUGUAGAGCUGAGAGAAAUUUUGAAGAAAAUCAGAAGACAAUAAUGAAGAUGAAUGGCAUGAGUGCAACCUUUAGGACCUUGUAUGCUUCUUCCUUGGGUAGGUUUGGUUCUGCAUCUGAAAUUGAGACACUCCCCAACAAGUUCAAGGAAGACCAUGAUAAGCCUCCUGGUGCUAUGCUUUCUGCACCCUCAACCGAGGUUAAUGCAAAAUGGGGUGUUUAUGGAAAAGCAUGCAGACUUGAUAACCAAUGCAUGGUAGAUGAAAUUCAUCUCCGUAGAUUUGACGGUCUCUUGGAAAAUGAAGGGGCCCAUCGAUGUGUCAUGGCUAGUAUUACCAUCAAGGCACCAGUUCGAGAAGUUUGGAAUGUUUUAACUGCAUAUGAGGCAUUACCUGAGAUCGUCCCUAAUUUAGCAAUCAGUAAGAUUCUAUCAAGGGAUAAUAACAAGGUCCGUGUUUUACAGGAGGGGUGCAAAGGCCUGCUGUAUAUGGUCCUUCAUGCACGUGUGGUAUUGGAUUUGUGUGAAGACUUUGAACAUGAAAUCAAAUUUGAGCAAGUUGAAGGGGACUUUGACUCAUUUAAGGGGAAAUGGCUUCUAGAGCAGCUCGGAAAUCAGCAUACUUUAUUGAAGUAUGUUGUAGAAUCAAGAAUGCACAAGGAUACCUUCCUCUCAGAAGCUAUUUUGGAAGAGGUUAUUUAUGAAGAUCUACCAUCAAAUUUAUGUUCCAUCCGUGAUGCCGUUGAAGACAGAGUAGGUAUUAAGAAUGACCAACGUGAUUAUUCUGAUGAGCACAUUGGAUCAAAUAGUGAUCCUUUGUAUGACGACACGAGUGGGCAAAAUGAACCUUCUCCAAAUGGUAAUGCUGUGUGUACUAUAAGGCAAAGACCAAAGGUUCCCGGUUUGCAAAGAGAUGUUGAGGUCCUCAAAUCAGAGCUUGCAGCAUUUAUUUCAAAGUACGGUCAAGAUGGGUUUAUGCCAAUGAGAAAGCAGCUUCGCUUGCACGGAAGAGUGGAUAUAGAGAAGGCAAUAACACGCAUGGGUGGAUUCAGAAGGAUUGCAGACUUGAUGAACUUGUCCCUUGCUUAUAAACAACGAAAGCCAAAAGGUUACUGGGAUAACCUGGAAAAUUUACAAGAGGAGAUAAGCCGGUUCCAGAAAAACUGGGGAAUGGAUCCUGCUUACAUGCCUACAAGAAAGUCUUUCGAACGUGCAGGACGCUAUGACAUAGCUCGAGCUUUGGAAAAAUGGGGAGGGCUGCAGGAGGUUUCUCGCCUCCUAUCCCUUGAACUGAGAUACCCCAGGAGAAGAUCAGAUGCUGAACAAGAAGGGCAAAAUGAUCUCAACGCAUCCAAUGAACCAAAUGGUCAAGAAAAGAUGUCAAACAAACCACUCAUCGCACAAGAUACACACAAGUGGCUGAUGAAAUUGAAGGAUUUGGACAUCAACUGGGUGGAGUAGAGUCACCUGAUGUCUGUCGAUCUGUAUAUCCUUUCCCUCGUUUCCUGGCAUCUCUCCAGUCCAUACGAGAUUUACCGGUUAUUAGUCUCCCUACCACCGAUCAAUCAAUAACCUAUUGCAGGCCAGAUAAACUGUGCCAGGAGGCUGAUAUAUAUCUACACAAAAACUGCACAAUACCAAGUUGUGAACCAGCCAGAAACCGGCCGGUUUGCUGCAACUUCCUGGAGCAGAAUGCAAGCUAAAUCUAUGUUCAUGGUCCUCCACUACGAACAAAUGGCAGCCUUGUUUGCUGCGAGAAACAAGUGAGUCUCCAAAACAAUCUCUUUAAAUAUGAUGGAAGGACAUCAUUGGAGCCAAGUUUCCUCCGACCUCAUCUUGGACUAUGACGUGAACGCCUCACUCCUCCUUGACUGAAAUCUCCAACCUCCCAUGUGCAGGUUGGUCUCCGAAUGCUCGCUUUUUUGACAUCCUUCACACCACCAGUUGACUCCUUUUUUGUUCUUUCUUUGUUCAUCGUUUAUUCCACAGUUUGGGAUGUUAUGAAAAAUACCGACGCAAGAUUCAAUCAAACUCGGUAAGAAAGGAUUUAUUGAUCACACACAAAUUCCCAAACCUCCUUGUUUUCAUCUCUUACUUCGUUGCACAUAUGAGUUUGAUUAUCCGCAUGGAGCCCACUUGGUAUACCAAUCACUACUUCAAACAUAUCUUGUUGAUUAUUUUUUCACCCAUUUGUUACUUACUGAUAUCUUUUUUAUCUUUUUUAUUUGAAUCUUAUUAACAUCAUGGUUCA